AGGGUUUGAUUAUGGCUCAGGACGAACGCUGGCGGUGCGCCUUAUGCAUGCAAGUUGAGCGAAGCUUUUUGGUAGUUUACUACUAGAAAUGACUGAGCGGCGAACGGGUGAGUAACGCGUGAGCAAUCUACCUUAGUUACUGGGAUAGCCCGAGGAAACUCGGAUUAAUACCGGAUAUUCUUAUUUUUUCACAUGAAGUUUUAAGGAAAGGUCAGCCGAACUAAGAUGAGCUCGCGUUCUAUCAGCUAGUUGGUGGGGUAAAAGCCUACCAAGGCUACGACGGAUAGCUGGUCUGAGAGGACGAUCAGCCACACUGGGACUGAGACACGGCCCAGACUCCUACGGGAGGCUGCAGCAGGGAAUAUUGUGCAAUGAGCGAAAGCUUGACACAGCGACACCGCGUGUGGGAUGACGGUUCUAGGAUUGUAAACCACUUUCAGGAGGGAAGAAAAUGACGGUACCUCCACAAGAAGACCCGGCCAACUAUGUGCCAGCCGCCGCGGUAAUUC
rnacentral:rRNA from 1 species